AUCACAUUGAAACACUGGAUCUUGUACGAUCACUGAAGUUAAGCAAUGUUGAGUCUGGUCAGUACUGAAAUGGGUUACCACUUAGGAAUACCAGGUGCUGUAAG